ACACACACACACACACACACACACACACACACACAUUACACAACGCUCGAGGAGUCCAGCUCACAGUUUAUUCACAGUUACAUCUGCCAUCUGGACGAUGCCAUCAAAGCAUCAAGACUCGUUUCAGAGACAGCUUUUAGAUGCUCCAAAUGUGAGACCUAGUUGUGUAAUGCAUACAUUUACAGUAUAUUCAGUAUGCAAUAGUGCUUAAAUGCUUAUGUCAAUGCUUUAUACAGUUGCUUUUUUAUUUUAGUUUUACUGCAAGUGUAAUGCAUCUAGUAAGUUAUUGUGUAAUUUCACAGCCGGAGCCAAGGGGAUUCUUAUCACGUUUAAAUGUACAUAUCUUGAACAAACUUGAACUUGAACAUGAAGAAAUAAACACAAUAUCAACAUCCAACACUUUAGUCCAGAUAGCCAUUUCAUUAUUUGACCCACGCUGCUUUGUAAAACUCUCAAAGUGCCUGCAAAGCUAUUUGCUAAGGAGGUAAGUGGUACAUUGCAGCAUCUAUCACCCCUUGACACUGAGUAGCCCCUUGGGUACUUCGAAAACAAAGCCUAACUACCGUAACCUAGCAACAUUAUUCAGACUCCAUUAAGGAAAUGUGUUAUUUAGCGAACCAAGUGCAGCAAAUCAUGUGUCGUUUGGAUCACCGCUGGAUCUCAAUUUAACUGAGACACAAUGACUAACUACACUGGAGAGCUGACGCGAAGCAACUGGAUUUAGCAUGGUGUUGAGUUUCAGAUUGGAUCAUGGAAUAGCUCUCACAAUUGUGUCUACGUUGAUCUGAAACAAACAACAUAAAGUUGAAAAGCUACCCGAAGAACAGGACUGAAGAUCUCAAGGUGUCCUACCUGAACAGCAGCAUCAGAGCACCAGAGAAGGACUUGAAGUUGUUGUGCUGCGUAAUAUGAAGAAGAGCAUGGCGAUGAGCAGGCAGACGUAGGGCAAAGCCUUGAAGGAUUGGAUGAAGGUCCACAGAAGAAUCCGGAUGGUGUAACCUUGUCGGAGCAGUUUGAUCAGACGAGCCGCUCGGAACAGCUUCAAGAAACUCAUGUUGAACGUCUCAACAGACUGGCGCUGCACUCCUCCAUCAUCUUAUCCCCCUGUUCCUGGAAGGUGAUGAUGAUGAGAGCCACGAAGAUGUUGACGAAGAAGAAAGGAAAGACGACGAAGUAGAUGACGUAGAAGAUGGACAUCU